rnacentral:rRNA from 1 species
AGUGAACGCUGGCGGUAGGCCUAACACAUGCAAGUCGAACGGCAGCACAGUAAGAGCUUGCUCUUACGGGUGGCGAGUGGCGGACGGGUGGGGAAUACAUCGGAAUCUACUUUUUCGUGGGGGAUAACGUAGGGAAACUUACGCUAAUACCGCAUACGACCUACGGGUGAAAGCAGGGGGUCUUCGGACCUUGCGCGAUUGAAUGAGCCGAUGUCGGAUUAGCUAGUUGGCGGGGUAAAGGCCCACCAAGGCGACGAUCCGUAGCUGGUCUGAGAGGAUGAUCAGCCACACUGGAACUGAGACACGGUCCAGACUCCUACGGGAGGCAGCAGUGGGGAAUAUUGGACAAUGGGCGCAAGCCUGAUCCAGCCAUACCGCGUGGGUGAAGAAGGCCUUCGGGUUGUAAAGCCCUUUUGUUGGGAAAGAAAAGCAGCAGGUUAAUACCCCGCUGUUCUGACGGUACCCAAAGAAUAAGCACCGGCUAACUUCGUG